rnacentral:tRNA from 1 species
ACUUAAAUAGCUUAUUAUUAGAGUAUGGUAUUGAAGAUACUAAGGAGAUUAUUUAAUCUUUAAGUA